rnacentral:rRNA from 1 species
GUGAGCUGGUUCCUCUGGAACAUGUGCUCGCCUUCUGCGCUUUCUACUUAUCCACCUGUGCACUUAUGUAGACGGUAGAUCAAUCUCUCCGCAAGGAGGAUGGGAGACUCGAGUUAGCAAUAGCUAGUUGACUCUAAAGAUCUAUCCGUCUAUGUUACACAUACACUUUUAAAAACUUUGAAUGUCUGUAUUAUUGGUCUUUGACCUUUAAACAUAUACAACUUUCAGCAACGGAUCUCUUGGCUCUCGCAUCGAUGAAGAACGCAGCGAAAUGCGAUAAGUAAUGUGAAUUGCAGAAUUCUGUGAAUCAUCUGUUCUUUGAACACACCUUGUUCUCUUUGGUAUUCCUCAGAGAAUGCCUGUUCGAGAGAGAAUUAAUUUUCACGCACGACAUGUGGACAUAUCGGUCAUUGACGAGAAUACCCUUCAGGACCUCUAUUUAGGUUGGUCGCACACUUCGCCGCACAAAUAAAAAAGUUCAAAACAACAAGGCUUUAAUCAGUUUGGACAUUGGUUGCAAACUCAACCCAUUUCCUUCUAAAAAAAGGUCCCCCGGUGAC